rnacentral:rRNA from 1 species
GUCUAUGGCCAUGCUACCCUGAACAAGCCCGAUCCCGUCUGAUCUCAGAAGCUAAGCAGGGUUGGAUGGGAGACCACCUAGGAAGACCAGGUGCUAUAGGUG